AACGCACCUUGCGCUCCUUGGUAUUCCGAGGAGCAUGCCUGUUUGAGUGUCAUUAAAUUCUCAAACCUCUCUCUCUAUUUAUAGGGAGAGAGUCCUUUGGACUUGGAGUGUUGCUGGCUUCAUUUGUCAGCUCCUCUCAAAUGCAUUAGCUUGUUACCCUUGUGGAUAGGCUUUGGUUUGAUAAUGUCUAUGUCAUUGCCAUGAAACAAAUGUCAGCUUCUAAUAAAUAAAUCAUUCAUAAAAUUUGACCUCAAAUCAGGUAGGACUACCCGCUGAACUUAA
rnacentral:misc_RNA from 2 species